UGGUUCUAAAUGGAAAACUAAUAUAACCCUGUACGACGUCUACAAUCAGGAGUUGUAUGAUAUAUGGAGUAAAUGUUGCCCAUUUUUCUGCAUUUGCUGUAGUGAUGAAAUUAAUUUUCAUGUAAGUUUAUACCUUUUAAAGUUAGUCUGUCCGAGGUCAAAUACUGUGUUUAUGGUUUUUGGAAAAUUUAGGGUUAAUUGUUAUAGACUGAAUGUCUUUAAAUCAUUUAUUUUGCUGUACUCAAUGAUCUUAUCCCCCAAAUCGCCGUGUUUGCAUCACAACCGAAUCCGUUACUUUCAAUGUGCCACAAAUUACUUUCUAUGAAUUUAUGAGUAUUUUGUAUUUAAUUGAAAAAGUGUAAACUUGUGAGCGAACAAAAUGUGACAAUAGUAGAUAGCCAUACUCAUUAUGAAAUCAAAAUAAAUGUUUCUUCUUUUAAAAGACUGUAUAUAGUACAUAGUAUUGUUAAAAUCCUAAGCUAUUUGUAAAAGUAAGAUAUAUUCCUGCAGUACUUUCAUCUAUCUCUGAACAACAAAAAGUAACAAUAUUCCUAUAAUUCUCUGUUACUUAUUUACUAGCGUAGGUUCAUGUAUCUGCCACCAUGUAAACGCAGCUCACGAUUGUCCCUUAAUAUUUAUUUUGGUAUACUAGUCUAUAGAUUAUAAUAAAACAACUCUCAACCUGGGACCAAAUGUCGCAGAUCUAAACAAGUAUAUGACACAGCACAGUCGUUACCAAUCAGCAAAACUCAUACUGCAUAUAUGGCAAGCUAUACAUAGAGGCUUCUAUAUAACAAAAUCUAAAACAAUACAAGUAGGAACACAAACAGUCCGAUUUAAACACAAACUUAACAGCAACCGCAAAAAAAAAAAAUAUAAUACUGGUGUACAGCAAAAAAGGACAUCCACUGAACUACAGGCUUCUGAUUAUUUUGGGAUUUGAACUUACAGAAUGGGGCAAGGUUCAACAUGUUUUAAAGCGCCCAAGCCUAUCUAAACCUAGGACAGUGGUGAAACAGCAAAACAAAAGAUUAAACUAUCAUAUCAUUUGAAAAAAAAGAUCCCCAAAACAAUACGAAUCGCAGAGUGAGAGCCAGUUUAAAGUCAAUAAAAUAAAUCAUGUAUCAAACAGGACAAUCUAUAAAGUAUAUCAGUGUAUUUUCGAUCUAUGAGUUUGACUGUUCCUCUGGUAUUUUUCGUCCCUCUUUUAUAUAUUAUUUGUGUUGUGUCCUAUUAAAUAAUCAUCCGUUAUCAAAGGUGUACAAUCUGUUCUAUCCUAUAAUUGUUAAAGUGGGAAAGCAUACAUAUUUCUCUAUAAUAGUUCAUGUCAUGAUAUCCUUGUAACUCGUAUAGUAUUACAUAUGACAAUUUAGAAAAUAGACCCCAUUCAUAUAUAUUCUAAACAUUUUCAGAUGCACGACACUAAACCAGGCCCCCCUUUAAAACCAAGAAUUUACAGAAAAUGGGACGGAUGUUGUACAACAGCUGAUUUGUUAGUUUGUGAAUGUAAGCGUAAUUUUGUCAUAAUUAUAAAUCAACUGGUUUUAGAUAUUAUAUAUAUAGAAAAUUGAUCCAUGCAGGAUUUCUUCCAAAAAUAAGAUAAUCUCCAAACAUUGUUUAGAUAAAAACAGCAUAGCAUUUCUGCUACGGUUUCUGUAAACAAAAUAUUUAUAUCUGAGUUCCAACUAGCAAUGACUAGUAAAACAUCGAGGAGUGACACUCUUAUCGAAGAUAAGAAAAAUAAUUCGUCUAAAUAGUGCGGAAGCAAAUUUUUUGUUCUUCCCAGACCGGAAUUCGAACAAUGCUACUGUGAUAUCGUUGCACCAAAUCGCAUUGCACUAUUCCCGACUCGCUAGACCAUACGACCACCUCGGGUCUAUAUAUAUUAAAUGUCUGAUUGAAUUAUAGCCAAUGUUAAAUCCUAUGGGACGAUGGGUCAUAUAACUAUGAUACAAUACACUAAAAAAUAUAUCGAAAAUAUUUGUGAUAUGACGUAUUAACAUGAUUAAUGUAGUGUUUUGUACUUUCCAAACGAAUUUUACGCAGCUCAUACGGCUAUUGAGUUAUAAGGUUAAAGAAACUACUUAAAAUCACACUUUUCCCCACUAUUUAAUGUUUUUAUUUUCAUACCGAGAUCACCGACAUAUGUACGUCUCUGUCGACAAGAAUGGGGUCUUUUGCAAUAUGUUCCUCAUUUUCAUCUCUUUACGAAAUAUAAUAAGAUGCUUUGACCGUGUCGAAAUCCUAACUGUGUCAAACUUAUUACUGUGUCUACACUCUAUGUUUCAACACUUGGCCAUUUGUCCCGCUAUUUCGUGGGAGUCUUCUAGUUUUCACACUGGAAAAAGGUUCAGAGUUUAGUUUUAUAAAAUAGGAGUUGUAAAUUCUUGAUCAUGUUAAGAGCAAUAGAAUGACCUUAAAAAGUGAGCUAAAUUCCUAGACUUUUAUCUUAUAAAUUUUGUUUGUUUGUACAGUUCCAGGUAUGGAGGUGGAGGAAAAGGCUUUGUUUGUAUGUGCGUGUUUCAUGAUUGUAAGUUUCUUUUUGACUUGUGUAUACAUACAGACCGCUAAAAAAUGUGUUGUCUUAGUUUUGUACCUUAACAAUUAGACUUACCUUACCUUGUCACCAUUCGUUAAUUCUUUAAGAGGUCGUUCGUUAACGUAUCUGGUGACAUAGCUAUAAACACAACUUUUGUAUCUGGAGAUAUAAACAACACAUUUUAUCACGAGUUCAUAUCUGCAAUGCGUAUCAAAACUAUUAAUUCUCUACAUUUCAUGGAAACCUAUAGCUAAAAAAAUUACACAGUUUUACUAGAUUUUCAGAAGUGGGUUUUAACUAAAAGGGAAGCUCUAUCCUUGCUAACGUAGGCGUGUGAAAACUACAGCUAAGGGUUAUUUGCACGAAGACCGUUACAAUUACCAAAUGCAACACAGAAAAAAUUACAAUAUAUCGAUGCAACCUAUAAAGUACCUGCAGAAAAGGGUUGCCGAUUAACCUUAUAUCAUCUUGUAAUUCGCUUUCAGCGCUCGUGGUGAAAUUAAAUCCAAAAAAGCGCUUCAGACGCAUUGGACUCAUAAAGUGUACGUUUUUUUCUUUUUUGAAUCCAUCCAAACUUCGAGGGAUUAUGACUAGUAUUUAACAUUACAACAAAUCUAAAAAAAAAAAACCAGUACUCAACUCCUUCUUUCAGACACAAAUACUCCAUAAGAGUAAACAAAAUUAUGGCAUAGGUAGCGUUUUCGAAAGGAUGAAAGAUGUCAACUUUAAACAGCUUUGUCGUGAGUUAAUAAUGUGGACAUCAAUCUUUAAUCGGCCUUAUUUAGCUUUACAUCUAUGUAACAACAUAAUGGUCAUAAUAUUGAGGCAAUAUUGCUACCUCUGACGGAAUCAUAAUCUUAAAAAAAGAUUCUUAGCAAAUCUGACACUAAUUUCAAUAAUGCAUUUAACUUUUUUGUAUGCAAAUAAACAGAAAGAUAAAAGAGAGGCACAAGAUAACAAAGGGAUCAUGAAACUCAUAAGUCGAAAACGAAAUAAAAAUGCCUAUACAAAAUUGUGAUAUCAAUUUAUGUGGUUCAUUAGUGUUACAAUGAUAAUAGUUACUGGAAUUGCGACGAUCCCUAUGAGGCGACAGCAGGAAUAGGUAAAAUCUUUUCAGUCAUUUUUCUCAAAAAUAGGCCGUUAUUGUCAAGGGUUACUCAGCUGCAAGGUUUUUUUGUACCAAUACAUCAUAUUUGAAUCAAAAUGGUGCACUAUAAUAGUCUAUGCGCUUAGAAAAUUGCCGUCGAAAACUAGUUGUCGGCAUGAUCACGUGUUAUGUUCCUCUCAUAUAUUUUAAUGAUUGUAUAAUAAUAAAUCCCUAACGGGAGGGAUUGUGCUUGAUAUUCACAUGAUGAAGACAUUAUGUUUCAAUCAGUUUGAUUGAGGUCUGAAGCUGGAAUGUCAGUACCUGCUAGUAGUCCUUUGUUAAUUUAUGAAUUUUCAGGCGACAGCAGGAAUAGGUAAAAUCUUUUCAGUCAUUUUUCUCAAAUAUAGCCUGUUGUUGUCACAAAUUACCAAGCUGCAAGGUUUUUCUAUACAGUUACAUCAUAUUUAAAUCAUAAAGGUUCACUAUAAUUGUCUAUGUCAAUUGCGUCGAAAAAUUCGGGAUGAUAAUCAUAAUUCAAUGGCAUUUUUUUUAUUGAGAUCGUCUUUAUUUCAGUUACGAUUAUCAGUUUAACACUAGUGGUGGUUGUCACACUUGAUUUUAAAAUGCUCCUAUCAUGUACACUCGAGACAAACAUUUGGAAAGGUUUGAUGUUUUGAUGGACAUGUCACGUACAUUUUGUACAUUUGAGUACAGUAAUAUGUAGUAUAACUAUAUAGUUCAUUUACAAUGUGUAGUCACAUUUCAGAAGAUAAAUGUUGUCUGAACCAAAUAAUUAUCUACUUGGACCCCGUUAUACUCAUCCAGAUGUAUCAAACAAAUUGUGUUGUUAAUUUAACACAGGCAACAUUACUAAUUUAAAACGUUCUCAUUUAAGUUGUAUUUCUCUUUUGCAGGAGACUAUGGUAUUUGAACGAUUGAAGUGGAACAGCUAUUAAUUAAACAAACACAUGAUAAUUUUAAAAAAAGACAUACUAGAAAUUGUUUUGUCCAAAGAACAAAUAUUGAAUACAAUCAUUUGUAGAACUGUGCUUUUUAAGAGAGAAAAAUUUGAACUUCCAAUGAUAUUUAGUUCAGAUUAUUUCAGUAGGAACAGGAGG
rnacentral:lncRNA from 1 species